ACUCCUACGGGAGGCAGCAGUGAGGAAUAUUGGUCAAUGGGCGCAAGCCUGAACCAGCCAUGCCGCGUGCAGGAAGACUGCCCUAUGGGUUGUAAACUGCUUUUAUACAGGAAGAAACACUCCCUCGUGAGGGAGCUUGACGGUACUGUAAGAAUAAGGAUCGGCUAACUCCGUGCCAGCAGCCGCGGUAAUACGGAGGAUCCAAGCGUUAUCCGGAAUCAUUGGGUUUAAAGGGUCCGUAGGUGGAUUAGUAAGUCAGAGGUGAAAUCCUGCAGCUCAACUGUAGAACUGCCUUUGAUACUGCUAGUCUUGAGUCAUUAUGAAGUGGUUAGAAUGUGUAGUGUAGCGGUGAAAUGCAUAGAUAUUACACAGAAUACCGAUUGCGAAGGCAGAUCACUAAUAAUGUACUGACACUGAUGGACGAAAGCGUGGGAGCGAACAGGAUUAGAUACCCCUGGUAGCGACUGA
rnacentral:rRNA from 1 species